rnacentral:rRNA from 1 species
AGAGUUUGAUCCUGGCUCAGGAUGAACGCUAGCGGCAGGCUUAACACAUGCAAGUCGAGGGGUAUAAGUCUUCGGAUUUAGAGACCGGCGCACGGGUGCGUAACGCGUAUGCAAUCUACCUUUGGCAGAGGGAUAGCCCAGAGAAAUUUGGAUUAAUACCUCAUAGUAUAUUAUUUAGGCAUCUAAAUAAUAUUAAAGUCACAACGGCCAAAGAUGAGCAUGCGUCCUAUUAGCUAGAUGGUAAGGUAACGGCUUACCAUGGCAACGAUAGGUAGGGGUCCUGAGAGGGAGAUCCCCCACACUGGUACUGAGACACGGACCAGACUCCUACGGGAGGCAGCAGUGAGGAAUAUUGGACAAUGGGCGCAAGCCUGAUCCAGCCAUGCCGCGUGCAGGAAGACGGUCUUAUGGAUUGUAAACUGCUUUUAUACAGGAAGAAACCCUUGCUUGCGAGCAAGAUUGACGGUACUGUAAGAAUAAGGGUCGGCUAACUCCGUGCCAGCAGCCGCGGUAAUACGGAGGAUCCAAGCGUUAUCCGGAAUCAUUGGGUUUAAAGGGUCCGUAGGCGGUUUUAUAAGUCAGUGGUGAAAUCUUCCAGCUUAACUGGGAAAUUGCCAUUGAUACUGUAAGACUUGAAUAAUUAGGAAGUAACUAGAAUAUGUAGUGUAGCGGUGAAAUGCUUAGAUAUUACAUGGAAUACCAAUUGCGAAGGCAGGUUACUACUAAUUUAUUGACGCUGAUGGACGAAAGCGUGGGUAGCGAACAGGAUUAGAUACCCUGGUAGUCCACGCCGUAAACGAUGGAUACUAGCUGUUGGGAGUAAUCUCAGUGGCUAAGCGAAAGUGAUAAGUAUCCCACCUGGGGAGUACGUUCGCAAGAAUGAAACUCAAAGGAAUUGACGGGGGCCCGCACAAGCGG